GGUGGAUAAAGGACGUUUGAGGGUGGGAUUGGCGUAAUCAGAGACAUAGGAGCCCCAUGGGGGAUAGGCACACUGGUGACCAAGGAGGGCCUCCUGGAGGAGGUGGCAUCUGCCCUGAGGCCUGAAGGCUGGAAGGAGCCGCGUGUGAAGACCUAGAAGCCCACCGGGCCGGCAAGAGGGACAGCGCGUACAGUGUCCUUAGGGCUGGAAAGAAGGAAUCGGCCUGUGUGGCUGGAGCUCAGAUUGAGAUGGGGAGACCGCAAGGACGUGGCAGGAAGGGGCUUGACUGGCAGGUGCCCUGUGGCUGGAGACCUUCAGAUGUGGCCCCUGCUGGGUUGCUGGCUCUCUCCAAGCGCACUUUUGAGGUGUUCCCUCGCCUGGCUGCUGACGCCUCAGCCUGCCUGUGGUUCCACCCGCCUGGGGAGGACAGCCUGGUGUCCAAGUGCUCCUCUUGGAAGGGCCUUUCUAAGCUGACCGUAUCCUGCUCCUUUGGGAAAUUUGGACACACACACACAUGGAGAAUGCACAGUGAUGAUCAAGGCAGAGAUGGGAGUGAGGCACUUGCAAGCUAAGGAACGCCAAGGAUUGCUGGCAACCACCAGAAGCUGGGAAGAGGCAAAGAAGUAUUCUUCCCCGGAGCCUUCAGAGAGAGAAUGGCCCUGCCGACAUCUUGAAUUUGGAUUUCUAGUCUCCAGAACUGUGAGAAUGGUUCUGUUGUCCGUAAGCCCCCCUAGUUUGUGUGUGGUAAUUUGUAAUGGCAGCCCCAGGAAACAAUCCGGCACCAUGAUGGGUGCAGCCUGAAGGGUUUUCCUGGGGACAACACGGGGCCUGGCCCUGGCUUGGCUCUUGGGAGCUACCUGUUAGGGCCAGGUGCUGGAGGAGCUCCUGGAUGUUCGCAGAAGGAUGCCAGGCCACCCCCUCCUGAGCCCUUCGCCAGACCAUAGAAGUCAGCCCUUAAGUGGGGACAGAGUCUCAGCCCCUGGAUCCCCACUGCAGCCCAGACUGGACCUGCUUCCGACUCCCCGUUCUGAGCCGUGGUCAGUCUCUCUCAGUCAACAGUGAUUUCCAUUGACGUUCGCCCUGGCCCUGCUGGG
rnacentral:lncRNA from 1 species